UAGGGAAUCUUCGGCAAUGGACGAAAGUCUGACCGAGCAACGCCGCGUGAGUGAAGAAGGUUUUCGGAUCGUAAAACUCUGUUGUUAGAGAAGAACAAGGACGUUAGUAACUGAACGUCCCCUGACGGUAUCUAACCAGAAAGCCACGCCUAACUACGUGCCAGCAGCCGCGGUAAUACGUAGGUGGCAAGCGUUGUCCGGAUUUAUUGGGCGUAAGGCGAGCGCAGGCGGUUUCUUAAGUCUGAUGUGAAAGCCCCCGGCUCAACCGGGGAGGGUCAUUGGAAACUGGGAGACUUGAGUGCAGAAGAGGAGGGUGGAAUUCCAUGUGUAGCGGUGAAAUGCGUAGAUAUAUGGAGGAACACCAGUGGCGAAGGCGGCUCUCUGGUCUGUAACUGACGCGGAGGCUCGAAAGCGUGGGGAACAAACAGG
rnacentral:rRNA from 1 species